ensembl:lncRNA
UCUGACCCAGUAGUUCAUCAGAACCUCUGGGGAUCCUGUGGAUUCUGUGGAUCCUGUGGGUUGCAGGGUGGGUCCUACCUAGACCAGGCUGAUCCUGGACCAUCCCACAGAUGCUCCAUCAGAUGUGGAUGUGGGGAGUGUGGAACCCAGAUGUUCAGAGGGAGAUGAUGCCACAUCUGGUCCAGCUGAUGGAAGGUCUUGAAGUUCUCUGACUGGCCUGGACUGAAGAUGGUCGUCUCACUGGAUUUAAGGUUCAGAUGCUCAGUAACAAACUCCACCAAUUAGCCAACAGGGAAGUUUUAGGUUCAUUAAAUGUUGCUAUGAAGGUUUCACUGUUUUUCUUUGUGAAUGCAAUGAGCUCCAACUGAAACUUGAAUUAGAACUUAGAAGUAAAUCCUUCCAUCUGAAAGGAUUUAGUUGCAUUAAUAACCUCAUAACAUUCUAAUUCUUAUUCCAGUCUUGGUUGGAAAUAGAAUCUCUGUAUUGAUUCAGGUAAAAACUGAACUUCACAGCAUGUUGGAGCAAAACAACCAGAUGAAAACUGUGAUGGUGUUGGAUUGUCAGACUGUAAUGUUGCAGCUCAAAGCAGCUUUUCCAUCUCAGUUCAUUCUGACAUUCAGCUAUGAAUCAACACAGCAGAUGGUGAUCCAUGCUGUGGAAGUCUCACAUCUCCUGAUUUAAUGGAGCUGCUUUGCACUUUUUACACAGUUUAUUCACCAACACUUUAUUUAAUAAAAGUCCCAUCUAGUUUUUAUGAGGAAUGUGAUGUUUUAAUUUCUCUGUGAAUAACUGCAGUCUAAUGGAACAGCUGGAGUUGUAACAUCUGUCCUGAUAUUGAUCAUGAAGUAUUGAUCAGAAUACUUAUGGUCAGCAGUCAUCCCUGAAGUUUUACAUUAAAAUCUUUACUUGUGUUGUGAACUUUGGUAAGAAGCAGAAACUUUAGCGUUGCCAUGGAUACAUGAGUGUUAAAUUCUGUCCAUGUUUCCAUUUUGGGAAAUUCAGUCCAGCAGAUGAGUUUGUUUUUACUGCCAGCUACCAUUCAGUCUGAGAUAUUAAGAAUAAAUAAAUAAAUAAAUGUGCAUAAUGUGGAAAUGAACAGAUUUUAUUUUUAUUUAUUCCUACAGCAUGUAAAGUUCCAGAAUGUGGAGGAAUUUAGUCUCACAAUCACAGACAAUAAAUAUUAUCUGAAAGUCGGGUUAUUAUUGUUUAUCAGCACAAUACAAAAAGAUUCAUGUUAGAAAUAUUCCAGUUAAGACUCUUAAAUAUCAUGAUUUAUGUAAAUUUACCUCAAUAAUAUGAAUGUUCAGGUUAAGAUUGUGCAGUGAUAUUUAUUAUGUAAGUUUAGCUGAUUAAAGUUUAUGACUCUGCACUACAAUAUUUAUUAUUUAAAUUUACAUCAUUAUUAUAAUAUUUAGGCUCAGACCCUACAGUAUUGAGAUUAAGAAAUCAAAUAUUCUAUAAAAUGUAAAUACACUGAACUCAUUUGGAUAUAUUUAAGUGAGACUCUACAAUAUUAUUUGACACAAAUCUAUCUAAAUCAAAAUUUUAAUCAUUUUUACUCCAAACAUUUACUGGACUAAUUUAAAUAUUAAAAUCACUCCUUUCUAAUCCUCUGCUGUACUUUCAAACCUGAGGCCUUAAACAGAAACACACAAGUAUCUGAUUGAAGGAACUUCUGCAGAGUCCUGGUUCCAGAACAUGAU